UGUUCUCAUGGCAAACUAAGAUUAGGGGUACCAGACCACAGUGCAGGAUUCUCACUAUUAAUGUCAGCAGCUGCAGUGAAAUCCCUGUUUCUCUCAUUGCCAUGAUGUAUGUCCCCUUUUCCUGUGAAACACCAUUCUGUCUGGAUUGCUUCUCAUCAGCCCUUCUGAAGGAUCUCACUUGCAAUGACCCUUUCUCUCCAGCCAGAGUCCUUUCUCCAUACAGCAACUCACUGGUAUCCAAGUGCCCGCUCCUAACUGCAAUACUUUACGUAAAAAUUCUUCCUUGAUCUCAAAGUCCCCAGU
rnacentral:lncRNA from 1 species